rnacentral:rRNA from 1 species
UUGAUCUCAAAUCAGGUAGGAUUACCCGCUGAACUUAAGCAUAUCAAUAAGCGGAGGAAAAGAAACUAACAAGGAUUCCCCUAGUAACUGCGAGUGAAGCGGGAAGAGCUCAAAUUUAAAAUCUGGCGUGCCUUUGGCCGUCCGAGUUGUAGUCUGGAGAAGCGUUUUCCGUGUUGGACCGUGUAUAAGUCUCUUGGAACAGGGCGUCAUAGAGGGUGAGAAUCCCGUCUUUGACACGGACUACCAAUGCUUUGUGAUGCGCUCUCGAAGAGUCGAGUUGUUUGGGAAUGCAGCUCAAAAUGGGUGGUAAAUUCCAUCUAAAGCUAAAUACAGGCGAGAGACCGAUAGCGA